UACGUAGGGUGCAAGCGUUAAUCGGAAUUACUGGGCGUAAAGCGUGCGCAGGCGGUUCGAAAAGAAAGAUGUGAAAUCCCAGGGCUCAACCUUGGAACUGCAUUUUUAACUCUCGAACUAGAGUGCGUCAGAGGGGGGUGGAAUUUCGCGUGUAGCAGUGAAAUGCGUAGAUAUGCGGAGGAACACCGAUGNNGAAGGCAGCCCCCUGGGAUGACACUGACGCUCAUGCACGAAAGCGUGGGGAGCAAACAGGAUUAGAUACCCUGGUAGUCCACGCCCUAAACGAUGUCAACUAGCUGUUGGGGCCUUCGGGCCUUGGUAGCGCGGCUAACGCGUGAAGUUGACCGCCUGGGGAGUACGGUCGCAAGAUUAAAACUCAAAGGAAUUGACGGGGACCCGCACAAGCGGUGGAUGAUGUGGAUUAAUUCGAUGCAACGCGAAAAACCUUACCUACCCUUGACAUGUCUGGAAUCCUGAAGAGAUUUAGGAGUGCUCGCAAGAGAACCGGAACACAGGUGCUGCAUGUCUGUCGUCAGCUCGUGUCGUGAGAUGUUGGGUUAAGUCCCGCAACGAGCGUAACCCUUGUCAUUAGUUGCUACGAAAGGGCACUCUAAUGAGACUGCCGGUGACAAACCGGAGGAAGGUGGGGAUGACGUCAAG
rnacentral:rRNA from 1 species